CGUGAUCUUUUUUUUUUAGAGUUCCCAGUUGUUUUGGAACGCGGCAUUAAGGCGUUUCCGUGUGAAUGUCGUCGCGAUGUAGGUGUUUUCCAGAGCGAUCAUUAACGCAGAACACACACCUUUGGGCUCUUGAAGGGACAUAUUCAUUAUCUCAGACAAGAUGGUUUUGGUUAUUCAGGGAUUGGCUAUCGGGGGCUUUAACAUCGGUCUGCUGGUAGUGUCAACUAAAGCUCUCAUCGUUAUUGGAAUUUUCGUUGUUGUAGGAACUGCAACAUACUACCUUGCCAAAUCGCUUUAUGAGAAACAGAAGGCGGCUUAAACCUCAGCAACAUGACUAACGACUGGAGAGGAGCCAGAGGUUGAUUAACUCCACGACUUACUGUCUCUCUUUACUGCUAUCUUUACUGCUCUCUUUACUGCUCUGUGGGUUUUUACAAUGAGUUGUAAAGGGAAAUUGUCUAUAUGCUCUUGAGUAAGGCACUAAUCCAGUGACUUACAAGAGCAUUUAGGGUCAAGAGCUUCUGCUAAAUGUCUAAAAUAUAAAUAUGACAUCAAUUUCAGUGCACAUGUCUACCCACAAUGGAUAGAGUGGACCAAUGAAUCCAGCUGUUUAUUAGAUGAACAAAAAAAACAUGUAUCACCUGUUCAUAUUGUCCUUUUCAAUUGUUUCCCGUGUCUAUCAAGACAGUUAAACAACCUAAAAGUUCAUUAUAAUUGUAAUGUGUGGCAAUUAAAUGUAUUCAUCCCUGA